CCUACGGGUGGCAGCAGUGAGGAAUAUUGGUCAAUGGCCGAGAGGCUGAACCAGCCAAGUCGCGUGAGGGAAGACGGCCCUACGGGUUGUAAACCUCUUUUGUCGGGGAGCAAAGCGAACCACGUGUGGGUCAUUGAGAGUACCCGAAGAAAAAGCAUCGGCUAACUACGUGCCAGCAGCCGCGGUAAUACGUAGGGGGCAAGCGGUAUCCGGAUUUACUGGGUGUAAAGGGAGCGUAGACGGCAGCGCAAGUCUGGAGUGAAAUCCCAUGGCUUAACCAUGGAACUGCUUUGGAAACUGUGCAGCUGGAUUGCAGGAGAGGUCAGCGGACUUCCUAGUGUAGCGGUGAAAUGCGUCGAUAUUAGGAGGAACCCCAGUGGCGAAGGCGGCUUACUGGACUGUAACUGACGUUGAGGCUCGAAAGCGUGGGGAGCAAACAGGAUUAGAUACCCUGGUAGUC
rnacentral:rRNA from 1 species